rnacentral:rRNA from 1 species
CCUACGGGGGGCAGCAGUGAGGAAUAUUGGUCAAUGGGCGCGAGCCUGAACCAGCCAAGUAGCGUGAAGGAUGACUGCCCUACGGGUUGUAAACUUCUUUUAUAAAGGACUAAAGUGAGGCACGUGUGCCUUUUUGUAUGUCCUUUAUGAAUAAGGAUCGGCUAACUCCGUGCCAGCAGCCGCGGUAAUACGGAGGAUCCGAGCGUUAUCCGGAUUUAUUGGGUUUAAAGGGAGCGUAGAUGGGUUGUUAAGUCAGUUGUGAAAGUUUGCGGCUCAACCGGAAAAUUGCAAUUGAUACUGGCAGCCUUGAGUACAGUUGAGGUAGGCGGAAUUCGUGGUGUAGCGGUGAAAUGCAUAGAUAUCACGCAGAACUCCGAUUGCGAAGGCAGCAUACGGGCGCCCAACUGACGCUGAAGCACGAAAGCGUGGGUAUCGAACAGGAUUAGAUACCCGAGUAGUC